UUUUUUAUUUUUAUUUUUGAGACAGGGUCUUGCUGUGUCAUGCAGGUUGGAGUGCAGUAGCAUGAUCACAGCUCAAUGCAGCCAUGACCUUCCCAGGCUCAAGCAGUUCUCCCACCUCAGCCUCCCAAGUAGCUGGGACUUCAGGCGUGUACCACCACACCUGGCUAAUUGUUGUAUUUUUUGUAGAGACAAGGUCUCGCCAUGUUGCCCAGGCUGGUCUUGAGCUUCUGGGCUCAAGUGAUCCACCCACCUCGGUCUCCCAUAGCACCUCAUGUCUCAAUCACUUUAGCUCUUGGCUCAUCGAUCUUGCUCACAGGGCUCCUGUCUUAAUCUGUGGUGAUUUCAGUAUACAUGCAGAUGACCUCUCCCACCCUCUGGCCCUCAGUUCCUGAAAUAUUUCCACUCCCAUGACCCUGACCUCCUGCCCAUGACUGUCAUUACAAGUCACAAACUUUCUGACCACCAUGUCCUGUCUUUCCAGCUCACCCUUCCCAGGACAGCAACUCCUACCAUCUCCCAGCCCCACUGAAGCCAAAAAUCCACGGAUCUUGCUACCUUUACACCAUCCACCACCCCUCCCGCCACUUCCUGACCUCUUUUCCCUCCUUGUCCAUCUAAAUGCCAGAGUGGAUUUUAUUGUCGCUCGCUGUGCACACCUGAGAUUCCCUUGUUCCUCAUUUGCCUUGUUUUAUUCAUUCAAACACGCCAUUAUUCUGCCCUUGAACCCUGAAGCUUAACAGAGCUUAAAACCCCCCCACACACACCACACACACUCACACACACACCACACCACACACCCUGUGCACACACUACACUGCACACCCCACACACACACCAUACACACACACCACACACCACAUACACACCCCACGCACACACCACACCACACACCACACACACACCACACUACACACACACCACACCACACACACACCACACACACGCCACACACACAAUUACAUACACACACUACACCACACACACACACCACACCACACACCCUGUGCACACACUACACUGCACACCCCACACACACACCAUACACACACACCACAUACACACCCCACGCACACACCACACCACACACACACCCCAUGCACACACAACACCACACACCCCACACACACCACACACACACCCCCGCACACACCACACCACACACACCCCACACACACACCACACACACACCACACACACGCCACACACACAAUUACAGACACACACUACACCACACACACACCACACCACACACACACAUACACACACGUAUUCACACACCACACCACACACACAUACCACACACCCACAUACAUCACAAACAUACACCACACCACACACACACAACACACCACACACACACACACACACACACACACACACACGGACUGAUCUCACCUUAGAAUCUUCACUGGACUCCUUAGAUGGGCUGUUCGGACGGCCCAGCGUUUAUACCACGCUUCCUUCUGCCACUCCUGCUCCUACUUCUUAGACUUUCACUCAUUUUCUUCUCUCCUCAAACCUCUAGUACACCC
rnacentral:lncRNA from 1 species